CCCGGGUUCACGUGAUUCUCCUGCCUCAGCCUCCUGAAUAGCUGGACUACAGGUGCCUGCCAUCACGCCUGGCUAAUUUUUGUAUUUUAAGUAGAGACAGGGUUUUGCCAUGUUGGCCAGGCUGGUCUCGAACACUUGACUUCAGGUAUCUGCCAACCUCGGCCUCCCAAAGUGCUGGGAUUAUAGGCAUGGGCCACCAUGCCUGGUCAGCUAUAAGCAUUUGAUAUAAGUUUUUAUGUGAACCUAAGUUUUCUUUUCUUUUGGUUAUAUAUACAUGAUUGGGACUGCUGGAUCACAUGGCUAAGUAUACAUUUAUCAAAAAAAUGCCAAACUGUUUUCCAAAGCUGUACACUUUUACAUUCCCAUUAACAGUAUAUGAGUCUCAGCUGCUUGGAUCCUUGCCAACACUUGGUAUUGUCAGUUUUAUUUCUUCAUUAAAGCCAUACCUACAGGGGUGCCAUGGUGUCUCACUGUGGUUUUAUCGUGCAUUUCCCUGUGACUAGUGAUGCUGAGAGUCUUUUCAUGUGCUUAUUUGUCAUCCCUAUGUCUUAUUUGGUGAAAUAUCUUUUCAAAUCCUUCACCUUUUUAUUGAGUUGUUUUCUGAUUAUUCAGUUUUAAGAGUUCUUUAUAUAUUCUGCUUAUAAUUUCUUUGUCAGAUAGUUACUUUUUCUCUCAACUUCUACUACUAAUUGGCCAAAGUUUAAGACAUAUUUAAACCGAGACCUGGAAAGUAACUCUGCACUUCCCAUUGUUAUUUAGAUUAUACUCAAGUAUUUUUCAUUUUCCAGGUGGUAAAAUGUGUUUAUUUUUCACCUACUAAUAUUCAUGAUUUCUGGCCGGACGUGAUGGCUCACGCCUGUAAUCCCAGCACUUUGGGAGGCCGAGGCGGGCGGAUCAUGAGGUCAGGAGUUCGAGAC
rnacentral:lncRNA from 1 species